rnacentral:rRNA from 1 species
GAUCCUGGCUCAGGAUGAACGCUAGCGACAGGCUUAACACAUGCAAGUCGAGGGGCAGCACAGGUAGCAAUACCGGGUGGCGACCGGCGCACGGGUGAGUAACGCGUAUGCAACUUACCUAUCAGAGGGGAUAACCCGGCGAAAGUCGGACUAAUACCGCAUGAAGCAGGGCCCGCAUGGGAUAUUUGCUAAAGAUUCAUCGCUGAUAGAUAGGCAUGCGUUCCAUUUAGGCG